UCAAAAACCUUGGAAACACACACUACUCCUUUUCUCUCUCCCACCACAAACCACAAGGAGCCCCAUCGUCUCGUCUUUCUCGUUCUAGGGCUUUAUUCGAAUCAAAAGCACCGCUCCAGCUUUCCGAUUAGGUAAUUUUUCCAUAAAAAUUCCUUGCAAUCACAUGUAGUUUUUCUAUAUUCAUCCAUAUGUUUUUACUUUAUUUUCUUUCCGGUUUUAAAUUUUUUUUCUCUCCUAUGGAGUUUUGAUUUCCUGUCUGAUUCUUUCAUGGAAUGAGGAGUCGGAUACCUCUGUUAAUCGAGGAAGGAAUUUGACAACUAGGCUCUUAGGCAUCCCUCGAAUGCGCCCUUCUCUUUGCUUUGUUAGAAUGCCCUGUUGUUGUUUAGGCUGCUAGUCUUUUGCCCGAAUCCCCUGUUUGAAAGAAGAAUAGGAAAAAUAGAUGGAAAAAAAGCAAGAAAGACUAGGCUGUUGGAGGAUCUGUUUAUGGCUGUUUUCAGUGGCGUCUGUUCUUUAAGCUUGAUUUGGUUCAUUACUGCUCAGCAUUAUCUAGUAUUUAUUGAGCACCGCUCGAGCUGUUUGAUUGACAACAUUAGUUGCAAAAACUACUUACGGAGGCUGCCAGAUAUGGCGACAUUGAAGAUGUCACAGCUUAGCAUCUGCCGGUGUUUCGCUUGAUUCUGAGGAUUCACUGGGUAGAAGAGGAUCUCAGAGCUUCUCCAAUGGAGAGAAUUAAAGGAGCUAGAACUGCAGACUGCAGAGCAGCUUAGAUACCUAAGCAAAAGACUAUGGCUCCUCCCUCCUCCUCCUCCAGGACCUCCACCACCUCUGGAGGAUGCAAGCUCCGAUUAUUUAGGCUCGGACUCAGUAGAGGAGGUUGAACCUAACACAGAAUGAUAAAAGUGGUGCCUCAACCUUUCCACUUCCAAAAAAAAACUAUAGCCAAGUUUACUAACAAGAAGGAAAGUUCAAUAUCGAUUGUUUGGAAAUACUUUGAUAGGUUAAACAAAAUAGCAGAAUCUUUGUCCCUGCAUGCAAAGUGUAAGUAUUGUCCUUCAUCGUACAUGCAAUGCACCUCUUAGCAUGGCACAAAAAACAUGAAACACCACACGGCAAAAUGUAAGAAUUUUCCUGGUAGAACACGUUCACUAUUUCUUAUGAUGGAGCAAGUGAAUGGAAUGCAACAAACCAGAUAAUGAUGUUCCAUGUGAAACUGCUGGCUAAGGAACUCGAAUGGAAUGUUAUCAUUAAAAGCUUCAGAUACUUGCAUUGAUGACAGAGGAGAAGCAGAUUGUGGUUUAUUUAGAUGACUAAGUUGUAUUUUAUGUUUUGCUUCUUGGACUAGAUUUCAUAUGGCUUGUACUUUCGCUCUUCAUCAAACUUGGACUAGAUUUCGUAUGGUUUUAUUUUUGCUACGUGACAGGGUUGAUACUUGAUACAAUUACAUACAUUUGGUGCAUCGCAGAAAAUGGUUUCCAUCUCAUAUGAAAGACCUCUGGAAAGCUUUGCAUCUUUGA